rnacentral:rRNA from 1 species
GUAGGUGGCAAGCGUUGUCCGGAAUUAUUGGGCGUAAAGCGCGCGCAGGCGGUUCUUUAAGUCUGAUGUGAAAGCCCACGGCUCAACCGUGGAGGGUCAUUGGAAACUGGAGAACUUGAGUACAGAAGAGGAAAGCGGAAUUCCACGUGUAGCGGUGAAAUGCGUAAAGAUGUGGAGGAACACCAGUGGCGAAGGCGGCUUUCUGGUCUGUAACUGACGCUGAGGCGCGAAAGCGUGGGGAGCAAACAGGGAUUAGAUACCCUGGUAGUCCACGCCGUAAACGAUGAGUGCUAAGUGUUAGGGGGUUUCCCGCCCCUUAGUGCUGCAGCUAACGCAUUAAGCACUCCGCCUGGGGGAGUACGGCCGCAAGGCUG